GCCGAUAGGGUACGGAAAGGGCGGCGCUUCCAGCUCUGUGAAAAUCGGGUCCAGCAAUGUAAUCUGCUGUGUCUAAAACGCAUCUGACGCAAAGGAAGAACAAUCGUUACAUGAACGCUCGGCGUACAGUAAAACAACUACCUGCGAGUAAAGCCGGUAUCAAAGCUCGGGAGAGCUCAGCUCUCGGAGAACCGCUCAACAAGAUUUCUUCUGUUGAUCUGAGGUUCUUGAGGGCUUGAUCGCUAUAUUAAAAAUCAAAACAGGACGCGGGAAUUCCCAACAACACCCAUGACAGAAAUGGUGGACCAAUGAGAGCUCCUGACAACUGUCCUAAAUUACUUAACGGCGACACCAUUGAUUUCCAGCAUAUGCAGAUCUUCGUUUUACCCUAAAAUUAACUUCCUGAUUGAAGGAACCAAAUGUAUGCUUGAUAAAUUUGCUGAUGAUGCAAUGACACAAGCUACAGUGAGAAAUUUGGGUGAAUUUUAUGCAAAGGGUCUAGGCCCGAGACGUCAGCUUUUAUGCUCUUGAGAUGCUGCUUGGGCCUGCUGUGUUCAUCCAGCUCCACACUUCUUGAAUUUUAUGCAAAGUCUGGCAAGACCUUUCUUAAGGAGCUUUUGGAGCACAUCAGUAUUUUCAAACUGAACUCUGGAUAUUUCAGUGAGAUUCUCACCAAGUGGCACCAAGGUAUCUAUUAAUGGGGACUGUUGUUCGUGGUCAGUUGCAGCAACUGCAAAUCUCACCUCAUCAGUAUGCAGUUUCCUAUCCUACCACUGCAACUAGAUGGAAACUAGACAUCAAUAUCAAAGACAGAUUGGAUACCCGGUGACUUCAGUGUGCCACUUGCUGCACCAAGCUGGAGUCUUGAUGACCCAGCAAUAAUGUCUCAGGGCAAACUCCAGGACACAGCCAUCCACACAACAGAUCCACAGCCACUGGCAACUAACACUUACCAACUUCUCAAGACUCUUGCAGCACCUCUCCGAUCAACUUUCUGAACUUUAAAGCUGCACUUCAGGCUGCAACAGAAACUGGCCUCUAAAGGCAGCUGCAAGGACACGGUGCAUAUAGGGACAGACACACAGCUCACGGACUGGAUCAGACAGGUAUUCGGGGCUGUUGUUUGCUCUUUUAGCACUCACUCACCUUGACACUACCUGGAUUUCAUUGCCUCCCCAUCAUGUCUUGCCUUUUACCACUUUGCCCCCAUGAGCCAGAGUGACCAGGCUCAUUUUAUUUGGAUCUUACCUUGCCUUUUAGUGCAAACAUAAAGCCAGGAUACUUGUAAUGGUUGCCCUUAGUCAAGUAAAGGGAGAAAGCCUUCAGUCAGAGUGUCCUAGCACAGUGAGUCAACGGUAACUUCUCAUAUUCAUCCAGAGGAUUGGCCACAGUCAGUUGGCCACUUGGGGCAGUCAGGUUUAGGAUUCUGUCCUUGUCAGGGGUGAACAGCUGAAUGUCAGGCAGCAAUACCUGUCUCGGACAAUCAGCUAGUAGAAGAAACCUACAGUGGUCCUCACACAAUCUCAUAGCAGAAAACAGCAGAGUCAGCUUGGAAAGCUGGGGGAAGGCAUUUGGAUUUGCUAGCAACUUCAACAUGAAAUUGAUGCAUCCACAUUGUGAAAUCUGUUAAGGGAAGGCAACAGAAAAUGCUCAUGGAUGACCAACACAGUAAAUUCAGGAUGGAUUGAACACCGAACAGGUUUAAAGUGAACUCUGGAGGGCUAUGGAAUACUUUUGGAUUGAUCCCAGGAAAAAUAAAUCAAGAUUUUGUAAGCUAGACACUUGAGAUUAAAGGAGAGUGAAGUUCCUAAGUCUUUAUAAAUCAAAAUGUUAAAUUAGUAGUGCUGGCUUUGUUUAAUUUCCAUAUAGAUCACAGAUCUGCUACAGUGUGGAAACUGGCUCUUUGGCCCAACAAGUACCGGCAAGAGCAUCGCAUCCAGACCCAAACCCCUAUAACCCACCUAAUCUCGUACACCCCUGAACACUGUGGGUAGUUUCACAUGGGAAAUCCACCUAGCCUGCAGGAGGAAACCCAUGCAGAUACAGGGAGAAUAUGCAAACUCUGUACAGACAGUUGCCCAAGGGUGGAAUUGAACCCAGGUCUAUGGCUCUGUGAGGCAGCAGUGCUAACCACUGAGCCACUGCGCCACCCCUUCAUUUAUUAUACAACUAAUAGUUUAUUAUGCAAAUAAUAACAUUUGUUUAAAGAUUUAAGUUCUAACAAUUAAUUGUUGUGUGUUGGAUUUUUGCUUUAAAUUGUAAUAGUCCCUAUCAGGAGGAUAACAACGCACUUCAAUAGAAAUAAGAAAUAAUUUUAAAAUGGUAUGUGAACUAUAACUUUAACUGACAGGGCAUUUCAAUUUCUAUGCUUAACUGAACAAAUAAUUAAUUACACAUUGACCUAAGGCUCUACUUAUGCAACAUUCAGGCAGAAGAUAUGAUUGGGUGAGGCAUGCACCAGAUGCCAGUGUUGUCCGUAACUGCAUGUAAUAUUUGUUCUGCUUGCUCAUUAUCAUGACUGUGGGCAUGUAAUCACUGGAAUCCUUAUUAUUCAUUGGCUAUAUACCUGUUAGGAAUACAAGAUAUCAGAAUUCUCUGGAAGCCAGUUUAUAAACUGGUAUCUCUUAAGUUGCAUUGUAGUUGCAGCACCUACAACCUUACUGCUCAUGUUACUUCAAGACGCUAUUUCUCUUGCUGUCUCAAGCAUUGAACCACACAUCACCACACCUCCCACUUAUCUGCCUGACUCAUCACUACUUUUGCAGCCCUCAAUUUCUCACAGGCCAUGAUCACUAACCUGCUCCAUUGUGAGCUACAAAUAGAGUGGCAUUCAUCAACCACAGAAAGGCACUGAGCACCCAGGAUUUUCCCUGAGACUGAAUAUGGGUGUUCUUGAGCUUAUCCCACACUAUGCUACCCAUCAUCAUCUCAGUACAAUCCUUAAGAAACAUGAGGCUGAAAAUGCCAUCUGACAGCCGAGAACAAACAGAGCAGUGCAGAUCGAAUCACAGUAAGAAUACUAAAGUACAAUGGAGAAGUGUUCUUGGCUUGUAGGUGUUCUCUGAACAUCUCAAAAGACUGUUGUUAACUUUCUCCUGCCAGGAAGAGGCUAUCCAUCUCUUGAGUUAGAAAGCCGGAAGGGACCAAGCCUGCCUUCAACGCCACAAGAAAAUACCCUGUUUGACUAGGUGAGAUGGAUCAUCUGUGAUAACAGGAAACACUGACGAGCAAGCAGUGCAGAACAGAGAACAUAGAACAGUACAGCACAGAACAGGCCCUUCAGCCCACAAUGUUGUGCCGACCAUUGAUCCUCAUGUAUGCACCCUCAAAUUUCUGUGACCAUAUGCAUGUUCAGCAGUCUCUUAAAUGACCCCAAUGACCUUGCUUCCACAACUGCUGCUGGCAAUGCAUUCCAUGCGCUCACAACUGUCUGUGUAAAGAACCCGCCUCUGACAUCCCCUCUAUACUUUCCACCAACCAGCUUAAAACUAUGACCCCUCAUGCUAGCCAUUUCUGCCCUGGGAAAUAGUCUCUGGCUAU